AUCAGCUUACCGGUGAGAGGAUCUUAAUUACCAGGAGUCGAGCUUACUCACUAAAGCUAAGCAGACCAGAGCCUGGUCAGUACACAGGUGGGAGACCAUUUGUGAAAAUUUAGCUUGCUGCUG
rnacentral:rRNA from 1 species